CAUUACUGGGGGAGGAGGGGAGGCAGCAGCUGCUGCUGCGGUAUCCUGGUACCCCUUGCCUGGGGGGAAGGUGCUGGAAAAAGCGCUCAUCCGCUCGGGGAGCGGGGAAGCUGCUGAGGGAAGAGCCCAGCGACCAGCCAAGGAAGAAACGGCUGCCUCAGGAGAGGAGCAUGAAGCGUGACUUGAUCCGGAAGUGACCGGGCCGACUCCAGCCCUGCACCCAAGGGGCGUGACAAACUGCUGUGGGCGGAGCCUGGCGUCCCGUGGGGCGGAGUCUGGAGCCCCCGGUAUUUGCCGGGGUAGCUGCUGGAAGAAGCGUUGGGUUUCUCCUUGCGCCCUGACUCUGCGGUGACGUCAUCAGUCAGCGCCGGUCUCGCGGUGUCACGUGCCCCGUGUGUCGCCGUGGUAGUGGUGGGACCGCUCCCCCUCAGCAACGCGUCCGUGUCUCUGAGUUGGUCCCGCGCGCGUUUGGUGCGGCUGGGGCCGGAAAUCCCCGGCAGGAGCCAACAAUGCUGAGAAAAAGAUGCGCAAGACCCACAAUAUUAACUUCUUCAGAAAAGAAAACCAGGAGACAAAUUAUUGAUAAAAGGGUGGCGUACACAAGGAUAUACUUGGGGAAUCAAAUUGGCCGAUGGCUGACCUUAAGGGAAAAACUGGAUUUCAAAAGUGACACAGACCUUGCAGGAUUUUUGCUGGAUCUCUAUGACAAUGAUGAUCCAUUACCUAAAGAAGCAGUAGUCUCCUUACCUGAAGAUAUGAGAAUCGUAACUGCGAAAGAAGAAAGAGAUUUACAUGACUCCUCUUCAGCUGUUGGAAUAGAAGGGGACGGAGUGAGUAGCAGAGGGCUCACAAGGAAAGCAGGACCUGGGAGGCCAAAGGCUAUCCGUAUUUCCAGGAGAGGAGCAGAGGCAGCAGCAGAGAAGCAGAGCAUAGAUGUGACAGUGAGGACCGACUGACUGCAGAAUCAGCCUGUUCUUUACCACAAAGUAGGGGAAUCAGAACCGUGAAAGAAGAGAGGCAUUUGCAGGAUGACUCCUCUUCAGUACAGAGUCAUGAAAAAUAAGUCAGCAUUCAUACAACGAGGUUUCCUGGUAUUCAGGUGAAGAUUCUCCUAUUGGCUCUGAAUCUGACCUUUCAGAAAGGUAAAAUUAUUUAAAACAGAAGGUAUUUUCUUUGUGCAUAGUAUAAAUUGGUACUUUGAAGAGCAAUGUAUUUUAUAUUGUUUGUAAAGUAUUUACUAAAUAUUCUUAUUAAAGGAAUAUUAAAAUUA